rnacentral:rRNA from 1 species
CAAUCAAACCGGGAGAUAGCUGGUUCUCCCCGAAAGCUAUUUAGGUAGCGCCUCGUGAAUUCAUCUCCGGGGGUAGAGCACUGUUUCGGCAAGGGGGUCAUCCCGACUUACCAACCCGAUGCAAACUGCGAAUACCGGAGAAUGUUAUCACGGGAGACACACGGCGGGUGCUAACGUCCGUCGUGAAGAGGGAAACAACCCAGACCGCCAGCUAAGGUCCCAAAGUCAUGGUUAAGUGGGAAACGAUGUGGGAAGGCCCAGACAGCCAGGAUGUUGGCUUAGAAGCAGCCAUCAUUUAAAGAAAGCGUAAUAGCUCACUGGUCGAGUCGGCCUGCGCGGAAGAUGUAACGGGGCUAAACCAUGCACCGAAGCUGCGGCAGCGACGCUUAUGCGUUGUUGGGUAGGGGAGCGUUCUGUAAGCCUGUGAAGGUGUGCUGUGAGGCAUGCUGGAGGUAUCAGAAGUGCGAAUGCUGACAUAAGUAACGAUAAAGCGGGUGAAAAGCCCGCUCGCCGGAAGACCAAGGGUUCCUGUCCAACGUUAAUCGGGGCAGGGUGAGUCGACCCCUAAGGCG